UGAGAAUACUCUGCCUGCAUGCAGACUGUCUUCCUUAUUGACUCCAUCAGCCGGCAAAUAAUAAUCCGCAGAUUAUCUCACAAUCUCCCAGGUCUCUGGAAACAACCAAGAAGCUACAAUGUGGCCUUUUUCCGAAACAUCGGCACAAAUCAUCACAUUGCGUGGAGUCAACAGCGCAAGGAGAGCUGACCCUUGGUUGAACCCCUCCAAUGGCUGCAAACCUGGAAGCAACGAGGACUAAACGCCAUCAUCUGCUGUCAGCCAUCUGCCACCUUGACAUUACAUCCCCUUUUAAUGUAUGUAGAAUCAGUGUGUAUACCCAGCAUUGGCAAUAACUUGUGCCAUCGCAAUCAGUGUAACAUUUUCCUACUGAC